GGCAGAGUAGGAACAUACGUGAAAAAGAGUGCCGGAAAAACGGGGAGUUGUUUUCCGGACGAAGGGGCGGGCCGUAUCGGCCGAUGUCCGCAGUGUGUGUUCCGCAUCCCGCUGCC
rfam:Oscillibacter sp. CAG:155 genomic scaffold, scf180